UUGGACCACAGUAGAGUUCAGACCUCUCAGGCUGUUAACAACCAUUCUGUGGGAAGACAAACCAGAAAAAAACUUGAUGAAGUGAUGUUUUAAUAUCUGUUAACAAAUGUGUGAAGGAAGAAAAACGAAAGAGAAAAACUGAUGCUAAAGGAAGCCAACUGAAUCAGCGCCUGGCUUUUUAGCAUUACCUAUUGGGCUGUGCUAUCUAUAACAAGUUCUUAACAUUUGGAAGAAGAAUAGUUUUAUCCAUGGAUAUUCGUGGUUUUAUCGUCUAAUAAUCUGCUAAUUACCCUCAGAAACUCUCAAGGAGUUGGCGGCUGCGUGAAGAAGCUUGUUGCGCAGUCAUCUGCUAUCAGUUCUUUAUCAAAUCGCAAGAAGGCAGCAAAGAGACAAUAGAAAUGGGCAACGGACACAGUCUUCAUGCCCACAAAGUGUGUGCAGACUCCCUGAGUAGUGCAGUGUUUCCAGAGCCCAGCUGGGACAAUGUCAACUCGGAGGAACUGGAGAUGACAGAUUUCUCAAGAGGUUCGAACCCUCAUCACUCGUUUGGUGACGGUAGAAAAGACCCCACAACGACUUGUGUCCAGGACCUUCAAGACUUUGAAGACGACGAAGAAUUUGAGGAGGAAUUAAGCUGGCUGAUGUCAUCAGAAGAUUAUCUCGUGGCUUGUUGCUUAGCGCCUGACAGUAAGGAGGCCUGGCAGGACGGGCAGUUUCAAGAAGAGGAUAUGCUUGUAGAUGAGGACGACGAUGAAGAUGAAGAUUUUGAUAACUUGUCCGAUAAACACCGAACGCUUUUUCAGCUAAGCCAAAAGACGGGAAAGUACAGUAUUGACGACAAUGGGUUUCCUCCCAAACGGCGGUUUUCAACUACAGAACCCAGUUCGGGUCUAAAACAAACCUGGUGUUCACCACUUCCGAGUCGUUCUCUGGUCUGGAAGUGGAUGCUUCCGGCUGGACAGACAACUACUCGACCGCAGAAAACGACAAUGAUCGACAUGGCUUCACAAUGUCCAACAGGUCAGCAGCGAGUCGGAACAGUUCAGGUCUCUUGGACAGUGGCAGAAGGUCAGGUGAGGAGAAGACCAUACGCGAACUGCGCGAUGUGGACUUGUUGAAUCAGAACGAAAUUCACGACUUGGUUCAGGAUGAGAUGGAACGCGCGGAGGUGGACUGGCUCUGUGAGCCGGAGUGGAACAACCAGGAGAUGGAGAUCUUCUGGCACCUGCUGGAGCCACACUUCAAGAAGCUGCUGCAGGUGAGGGACUGGAGACAGCUGCCGGAUCCCUGUCUCCCCAUCGUGUUUUUGGACCCUGGGGACAGUCAUCUCCUGGACAGGAGCCUGUUGCACAUCCAGUGGCACAUUUGGAAAGGACACUACAGUCAGGCAGUCUCGGACUUCCGCUUUGUCAAAGGUCACUUUGAAUGCAGCUCCAGGUCAUUGUUUCUGUGCAAGGACAGGAGGGACGACAUCGAAAACCUGAAACUUGUAUUCCGAAAAAAGCGCCUACAAAAUUUCGGUUAUGGAUGUAAGUCUACCGGAAACACUGUCAGAACAGAUUGUCACAGGUCCUCAGCCGAGGAAACAGAUGUUGCACAUCAGAGCACAGACUGUCACAAGUCUUCAACUGAGGAGACAAAACUCUCGUUGCUGCUACAUUACCUUAGUCUCUGCAUGAGAUGGUCAUGAAAAUGCAGUAUAUAAUACAACAUCUUGCACAAUGAUACAAAACCCGCCGCAAGAUUGGACGGAAAUGGACAAGAAAGAGGAAGAAACUUUCUCUAUCAGGAAGCUGGAACUUGAAUCGGAAAAGGAUAUCCGAUGUGAAUUGUAAUUAUGUGCUUGGGAAAUCCUCUCAUGAGGGAGGAGGAUGCGGAGAUAUAGACAGAAACACUGUGUCUACCAGGAUUGAAAAUGAUGUGUUUGAUUGUAAUUGUAUUCGACAAAAAUUCCGCUGUUGAUACUCUGAACCUCAAAAACGGAUACCUCAUUUGUUGAGGUAAAGAAUGUGAAACUGCGGAAAGUCUUUUAAUGAAAAUAAUAACAAUAAACAAUUACUUUUGUAUGAUUAACUGUGUUAGAAAAACAACUACGUGUACUUUACAUUCUGUACAAGCAGCGCUUAUGUUAGAGAGAAGGCAGAAGAAAACAUGUUUAUAUUUUAUUAUCCUGGGUGUGAAGCUGUUUUUUGAUCUUCUGAGUGUGAAGCUGUUCGUACCAACGUCUUAUCGCUGAUGAAGGCCGCCAUUCCUCUCACGAACAGCAUCCUACAGAGAACAGUUCCUGGGUUGGGAUUACAUCCUCCUGGCGGUGUCUGGCCGCGAGAUAACUCCAGUGACCGUGAAAGUGUUGGCGUCUGUCUAAUCUACACUAGACAUCGGCGAAGUUCCACAGGAAGGAAGAGAGGAAAUGUGGAGUCACCCCACUAAUAAUUCAAUUAACGGAGGCGUUCACAAUCUUCUAUUUUGUGAGCUCACGAAAUGAGAUCGUCUCCAAUCAACAGGUCCUCAGACUGAUGUGGUUGGACUUGUGCUGUGUGGAUGCCGGAAGGACUUUGAUGUUAACAUGAAAGAAAGCAUUCACGACUGGUAAAUUUAGCCGAGAAUAAAGCUCAUCUCACCUCCGACAAUAUUAUAGUCGUUUUGAUACAGUUUACACAAUAUUCGGUAUGAAAUACGCAGUGCAAUUCAAUGCAAAAUGACUAAAGGUCAUAGGGCAAUAUCAUUAAUUGUAAAUAAGUAAUUGAUUCUCAUAAUACUUCUUCUGUUCCUCUUUCGUAUGCUUGCAUGAAGUGCAUGAACACACAGACGUACACACGAGAACACGCAAACACAUAAACAUGUCCGCAAACAUAACGAGAACGCGUAGUCAUCUUUUGAUGAUGAACGAUGAAAGCCCAGUCGAUAAUAUUAAUUUAGUAUAUUUACUGCUUAUGUCUAUCAUCCUAUCAUCGUCAGUGGGACCUUGCCCACUCAUCUCUUCACACACUUGCAUGCCCACUCACACACGCGCGAGCUAAUUCUCAUUCCAUUUUGUAUUUACAUUUUGUAUUUACUGUUUUUAUUGUAUAUAAUAAUACUGGGUAUUUGUCAUGUGCAGACCAAUAAUGAUAAUGUUUGUAAAUUUUGAUAUUUUUCUAACAGAAAUAAAAGA
rnacentral:misc_RNA from 1 species